GCCCCCAUAGCUCAGUUGGUAGAGCAUUCGCCUAGACAGCGAAAGGCCCUCAGUUCAACCCUGGGUAGAGGCA
rfam:Phlebotomus papatasi Contig1761.1, whole genome shotgun sequence.